AUACUUACCUGGCAGGGGAGAUACCAUGAUCACGAAGGUGGUUUUCCCAGGGCGAGGCUUAUCCAUUGCACUCUGGAUGUGCUGACCCCUGCGAUUUCCCCAAAUGUGGGAAACUCGACUGCAUAAUUUGUGGUAGUGGGGGACUGCAUUCGCGCUCUCCCCUG
rnacentral:snRNA from 1 species